GUAGGGUGCGAGCGUUAAUCGGAAUUACUGGGCGUAAAGCGUGCGCAGGCGGUGAUGUAAGACCGAUGUGAAAUCCCCGGGCUCAACCUGGGAACUGCAUUGGUGACUGCAUUGCUCGAGUAUGGCAGAGGGGGGUGGAAUUCCACGUGUAGCAGUGAAAUGCGUAGAGAUGUGGAGGAACACCGAUGGCGAAGGCAGCCCCCUGGGCCAAUACUGACGCUCAUGCACGAAAGCGUGGGGAGCAAACAGGAUUAGAUACCCUGGUAGUCCCACGCCCCUAAACGAUGUCAACUGGUUGUCGGGCCUUCAUUGGCUUGGUAACGUAGCUAACGCGUGAAGUUGACCGCCUGGGAGUACGGUCGCAAGAUUA
rnacentral:rRNA from 1 species